rnacentral:other from 1 species
CAUAGACGGUAAUCAUUGUUCAGCCAAUAUCACAAUCCAGGAAGCCAGAUUGAGAAUGUGGUGAGCACGCUUAGCUCGACUAAGAAGCCAAAAGCAUUCCGGAGGAGUCCACUUUAGUGACCAGGACUGUAUUCAAUCUUGCUGUCUAUAC